rnacentral:rRNA from 1 species
GAUGAACGCUGGCGGCGUGCUUAACACAUGCAAGUCGAACGAUGAAAGCGGGAGCUUGCUCCUGCUGGAUUAGUGGCGAACGGGUGAGUAACACGUGAGCAAUCUGCCCCGAACUCUGGGAUAAGCGUUGGAAACGACGUCUAAUACCGGAUACGACGCGCGAAGGCAUCUUCUGCGCGUGGAAAGAAUUUCGGUUCGGGAUGAGCUCGCGGCCUAUCAGCUAGUUGGUGAGGGAACGGCUAACCAAGGGGACGACGGGUAGCCGGCCUGAGAGGGUGAACGGCGACCCUGGUACUGAGACACGGCCGAGACUCCUACGGGAGGCAGCAGUGGGGAAUAUUGCGCAAUGGGCGAAAGCCUGACGCAGCGACGCAGCGUGAGGGACGAAGGCCUUCGGGUUGUAAACCUCUUUUAGCAGGGAAGAAGCGAAAGUGACGGUACCUGCAGAAAAAGCACCGGCUAACUACGUGCCAGCAGCCGCGGUAAGAC